rnacentral:rRNA from 1 species
CCUACGGGGGGCAGCAGUAGGGAAUCUUUCACAAUGGGCGAAAGCCUGAUGGAGCAACGCCGCGUGCAGGAUGAAGGCCCUCGGGUUGUAAACUGCUUUUAUAAGCGAGGCAUAUGACGGUAACGUAUGAAUAAGGAUCGGCCAACUACGUGCCAGCAGCCGCGGUCAUACGUAGGAGCCGAGCAUUAUCCGGAGUAACUGGGUGUUAAGCGUUGGUUAGGUGGCAUAGUAAGUAGCGAGGGAAAUCUGGUGGCUCAACCAUUCAGACUAUUGGCUAAACUGCUAAGCUCGAGACCGUGAGGGGUAAGUGGAAUGUGUGGUGUAGGAGUGAAAUGCGUAGAUAUUAGAAAGAACACCGAUAGCGUAGGCAGGUUACUGGGGCGGUACUGACGCUAAGGCACGAAAGCGUAGGGGGCGAACGGGAUUAGAUACCCGAGUAGUC